rnacentral:rRNA from 1 species
AACGAACGCUGGCGGCAUGCCUAACACAUGCAAGUCGAACGAGACCUUCGGGUCUAGUGGCGCACGGGUGCGUAACGCGUGGGAACCUGCCCUUAGGUUCGGAAUAAAUCCCCGAAAGGGGUGCUAAUACCGGAUAAUGUCUUCGGACCAAAGAUUUAUCGCCUUUGGAUGGGCCCGCGUUGGAUUAGCUAGUUGGUAGGGUAAAAGCCUACCAAGGCGACGAUCCAUAGCUGGUCUGAGAGGAUGAUCAGCCACACUGGGACUGAGACACGGCCCAGACUCCUACGGGAGGCAGCAGUGGGGAAUAUUGGACAAUGGGCGAAAGCCUGAUCCAGCAAUGCCGCGUGAGUGAUGAAGGCCUUAGGGUUGUAAAGCUCUUUUACCCGGGAUGAUAAUGACAGUGCCGGGAGAAUAAGCUCCGGCUAACUCCGUG